UACAGAGGAGGCAAGCGUUAUCCGGAAUUAUUGGGCGUAAAGCGUUCGUAGGUGGCUCUUCAAGUCGGCGGUUAAAGACCCGGGCUCAACUCGGGAAAGGCCGUGGAAACUGAAAAGCUAGAGUGCGGUAGGGGUAGAGGGAAUUCCCGGUGUAGCGGUGAAAUGCGUAGAUAUCGGGAAGAACACCGGUGGCGAAGGCGCUCUACUGGGCCGCAACUGACACUGAGGGACGAAAGCUAGGGGAGCGAAUGGG
rnacentral:rRNA from 1 species